GUCCAAAAGGCACCAUCGAAAGGGGAAGAUCUGGCUUGAUGGAGACUAGAAGGGAUAGGCUUGAGAUUACCCUUAUCUAUUUCACCAAGAGGAGAGCAAGAGCAGUUUUCAUUGUCUUGCUGGCAGAGAAACACUUCAUGCACAGUAAGCCUCUUUCCUUAUCAGAGGGGCAGAAAAAACAAUUCUAGAUAUUUCAGCAGCAAAAUGGACAGA
rnacentral:lncRNA from 1 species